AGCACUCGGUAUCCGUGCUGAGAUUUCGUCACACAUCAGACCACAAGGGCUGAUUAGACUUCCAAGAUGAAUGAAGCG
rnacentral:pre_miRNA from 1 species